CUAAGCCUGGGGGCUUGAAGUAGAUCACGGUAUUUUCCUCUCCACGCGUUAGAUACAAUUCCCUCCCUUAAGCUUCAUAGUUACCAUACAGAAACAUGCCUACUUUAUAACAAAUAAAGUGAGUUAAAAGCAACCCGGGAUUGGACAACUUUCUUCAAGAAUACUGCAAUAAUUUGGUGACCCACGACGUUUGGAAGAAAGUCCCAAGAAUCCCGGCGGGCGCGACGCUAAAACAACUUCAACAGGCCACACACGUCUGAGUAGGAAGGAAGGCCAGUUUGAGCAAGAGAGUGUGCAAGGGCAAUCGCUGCAGAGACCAAGCUGCAUUGCGUGCUACCUCUGUUACUGUCACGUCGUGUCCUGCUACGCGGUCCACUACCUCCAUCUACUGGCUACUUGACGUCAGUGGUCCUUCUCCUGACACACCAGUCUACAAUCACCAAUCACCAUUCCCUACUUCAGCCGGGGAUCUCCCAUCAGCCGGUGCCAGUUUGUCGUUACGUCUACCCAGUUAGUAUCGGUCCUACCAGAAUUCUUGAAUAACUUGAGCCUGACCCCUUGGUAACCAUCUC